rnacentral:rRNA from 1 species
GACGAACGCUGGCGGCGUGCUUAACACAUGCAAGUCGAACGGAAAGGCCCUGCUUUUGUGGGGUGCUCGAGUGGCGAACGGGUGAGUAACACGUGAGUAACCUGCCCUUGACUUUGGGAUAACUUCAGGAAACUGGGGCUAAUACCGGAUAGGAGCUCCUGCUGCAUGGUGGGGGUUGGAAAGUUUCGGCGGUUGGGGAUGGACUCGCGGCUUAUCAGCUUGUUGGUGGGGUAGUGGCUUACCAAGGCUUUGACGGGUAGCCGGCCUGAGAGGGUGACCGGCCACCAUGGGACUGAGAUACGGACCAGACUCCAACGGGAGGCAGCAGUGGGGAAUAUUGCACAAUGGGCGGAAGCCUGAUGCAGCAACGCCGCGUGCGGGAUGACGGCCUUCGGGUUGUAAACCGCUUUCGCCUGUGACGAAGCGUGAGUGACGGUAAUGGGUGAAGAAGCACCGGCUAACUACGUG